CGAAGGAUGCAAGCGUUAUCCGGAUUCACUGGGUUUAAAGGGUGUGUAGGUGGGAUAAUAAGUCAGUGGUGAAAGCCCCCGACUCAAUCGGGGAACUGCCAUCGAUACUGUUAUUCUUGAGUGUAGUUGAGGCGGAUGGAAUAUGACAUGUAGCGGUGAAAUGCUUAGAUAUGUCAUAGAACACCGAUCGCGAAGGCAGUCCGCCAAACUAUUACUGACACUGAAACACGAAAGUGCGGGGAUCAAACAGGAUUAGAUACCCUGGUAGUCCGCACUGUAAACGAUGAUCACUCGUUGUUGGCGAUACACUGUCAGCGACUAAGCGAAAGCAUUAAGUGAUCCACCUGGGAAGUACGACCGCAAGGUUG
rnacentral:rRNA from 1 species